rfam:Rattus norvegicus chromosome 16, whole genome shotgun sequence.
GGGGAUUUAGCUCAGCGGUAGAGCGCUUGCCUAGCAAGUGCAAGGCCCUGGGUUCGAUCCUCAGCUCCG